CUAAACCCUUUACAUAGAUUUGAGCACCUUUCUUUGUUUCACAUUUGUGUACCAAAGUUGCUUCUCCAUCACUCCAUCCUUAUCUAGAGUAAAUAUCUAUGCCUCAGACAUGUCCUCCUUUUAGACUAUGAUUUUUAUGCUAUAUAUACAUUUCAGUAUUUGUAUCUCUGCUUUAUUCAUCCUUUUUUCCCCUCAUUGAAAUUCAUAUUGUUCAUUUGCCAAACAUUAAAAAGGCAUUCGAUAUUGCAGGUCAUAUUACUAUUUUGAGAAAGUUUCCUUAACAUGAAAAAUGAAGGUGGCAUCAAACCCCAGGAAGCACCUUUAUGCUUAUCUUAACCAACUCCUAUUAGAUAUUUCUUCAUUAAUCUAUUUGUUAAAUUCCUUGAUAAAUACAAAACUAGUUAUAAUGUGUUUCAUUUACCAGUCAAUUUUUCAUUUCCAUUAUCCAUGAAAUUGCAUUCUGUACUUUCUGCUUUACUCUAUUAAAUUUAGGCCCUUGUAUUUUGAGGCUUCCCUUUGUACUUUCACUUGACAUUAAAAUUUUGUCCUUUUCUCAUUGAUCAACACAAUAUUGUUUUCUAUAUACUUCUGGGUGAUAAGCAGUAGGUUCACUUAUCAACAAUAGAAAUUGGAAAGAAGAUGUUAAGUGCUGGUCCUUGGUGUAAGGACAUCAUGACUGUAAAUUCACUUAUCGCAUUAGAACUCCGUGUGUCAAUGGUCUGGCAUACCCUCAACAUUUCGAUGUGCCAUAUUUGUCACAUCUUUUGUCCUGAUACCAACUUGAUAUUUUCAAGAUCGCCUAUCAGAUGAUUUCUUAAUAUC
rnacentral:lncRNA from 1 species